UACGGAGGGUGCAAGCGUUAAUCGGAAUUACUGGGCGUAAAGCGUGCGUAGGCGGUUUAUUAAGUCAGGCGUGCAAGCCCGUGGCUUAACCACGGAAUUGCGUUUGAUACUGCUUAGCUUGAGUACAGGAGAGGAAAGCGGAAUUCCCAGUGUAGCGGUGAAAUGCAUUGAUAUCGGGAAGAACAUCUGUGGCGAAGGCGGCUUUCUGGUCUGUUACUGACGCUGAGAUACGAAAGCCAGGGUAGCGAACGGG
rnacentral:rRNA from 1 species